rnacentral:tRNA from 1 species
GGGGCUGUAGCUCAGUGGUAGAGCGCUUGUCUUGCACUGUAAGGCAUUGGGUUUAAUCCCCAGCACCCACA